UACGUAGGUGGCGAGCGUUGUCCGGAUUUACUGGGCGUAAAGAGCGCGCAGGCAGUCGUUCAAGUCGAGUGUGAAAUCCCCCGGCUCAACUGGGGAAGGUCACUCGAUACUGAUCGACUCGAAGGCGGGAGAGGGAAGCGGAAUUCCCGGUGUAGUGGUGAAAUGCGUAGAUAUCGGGAGGAACACCAGUGGCGAAAACGGCUUCCUGGCCCGUUCUUGACGCUGAGGCGCGAAAGCUAGGGUAGCAAACGGG
rnacentral:rRNA from 1 species